rnacentral:rRNA from 1 species
AUUGAACGCUGGCGGCAUGCUUUACACAUGCAAGUCGAACGGUAACAGGCCGCAAGGUGCUGACGAGUGGCGAACGGGUGAGUAAUGCAUCGGAACGUGCCCAGUCGUGGGGGAUAACUACUCGAAAGAGUAGCUAAUACCGCAUACGAUCUAUGGAUGAAAGCGGGGGACCGUAAGGCCUCGCGCGAUUGGAGCGGCCGAUGUCAGAUUAGGUAGUUGGUGGGGUAAAGGCUCACCAAGCCAACGAUCUGUAGCUGGUCUGAGAGGACGACCAGCCACACGGGGACUGAGACACGGCCCAGACGCCUAAGGGAGGCAGCAGUGGGGAAUUUUGGACAAUGGGCGCAAGCCUGAUACAGCAAUGCCGCGUGCAGGAAGAAGGCCUUCGGGUUGUAAACUGCUUUUGUACGGAACGAAACGGCUCUGGUUAAUACCCGGGGCUAAUGACGGUACCGUAAGAAUAAGCACCGGCUAACUACGUG